AACCCAUGUUGUGGACACUUCCACAAGAGGUCGUUAAAUUGUUCCCAUGUCUCAAAUAAAGAUUCAAGCUUCAUCUUAACAAAUGUAGAUAUCCCAUUAUGAAGCU